rnacentral:rRNA from 1 species
GAUGAACGCUGGCGGCGUGCCUAAUACAUGCAAGUCGAGCGCUGAAGGUUGGUACUUGUAUCCACUGGAUGAGCAGCGAACGGGUGAGUAACGCGUGGGGAAUCUGCCUUUGAGCGGGGGACAACAUUUGGAAACGAAUGCUAAUACCGCAUAAUAACUUUAAACACAUGUUUUAAGUUUGAAAGAUGCACUUGCAUCCCUCAAAGAUGAUAUCGCGUUGUCUUUGCUAGUUUGUGAGGUAAAGGCUCAACAAGGCGAAGAUACAUAGCCGACCUGAGAGGGUGAUCUGCCACAUUGGGACGGGGACACGGCCCAAACUCCUACGGGAGGCAGCAGGAGGGAAUCUUCGGCAAAGGACGAAAGGCUGAACGAGCAACGCCGGGUGAAGGAAGAAGGGUGUCGGAUCGUAAAACUCAAGUAGUAGGGAAGAACGUUAGGGAGAAUGAAAAGCGCAUCAAGUGACGGUAACUAACCAGAAAGAGACGGCUAACUACGUG